ACUCAAAAAACCAAAACCCCCCUCAACUAACACACACAAUCAGUAUCAAAACCCUUGCCAUCAAUCGAUCAAAACCCUUAAAUUUCAAAAAUCACGACGAUCAUCCGCAAUUUGAGUCGAUCAUAUCACGCCUUUUUUCGGUGACCGCCUGUAUUUCUAUUCUCCGUCGAUCUAUCAACUCCGCCGAUCCAUCCAUCGGUGGGUGGAUAUGAGAACUAAAUUGAGACUUAGUACCAGAGUAUAGAGUAUGCACCAUAACUCUGUGGAAACAAGGGAAUUUGUGAACUAAUUUGAGAAUUAGUAGCAGAGGAGGUAUCUCUAGGGUGUUUUAGAUAAUGGGCUCUAGCUAAUGAAGAAAAUGAAAGAUGAUUUAUUGUUUGAAUGAUGGGUUGGUGGAUUGUGUGCGUUAUCAUUAUUGUUAAUAUGAGAUCAUUUUAUCAUUAUUGUUAAUAUGAGAUCAUUUUAUUCUU